AGGAAGAAAGGAGGAAAGACAAGAGAUUUUUUAAAAAGAGAGGAUUUAAUUGGACUUAGUGGCAGAGGGGAUUAGCAAGAGGGGCACUUGGGACCUGGUUUUAAAUUGGCGAGUGCUUUUUGGAAGAAAACACUGUACGCACGAUCAGGGUCUGGGUGUUCCAGCGAACUGAUGACCAUACAAAUCACGAGUUUCACAGGGAUGACAUAGUGUCAUGCUUUAGCCAUGAGCUAUCGUGGAAACUAGCCUCCCUCUCGUAGGCAAUCCAUCAUUCACUAACUGGCCGCUCCACCAUUCCACACGGAAAGAAGUCGGACUCGGAGCCUCCCGCGCGGGCUGGGUCUGGGAACCCUCUGCGGGCGCGGGUGCGCGGGCGGGCGACCGAGUGCCGGCCAAGCGGGGCUCGGAUGGGAGCGGCCCGCGCCAGAUCCGAGGGCGAUUGCCUCUCCAGCCUGCGGAGGGUACGGCCGCGAGUGCCUCCAAAUCACUAGGGGACUCUGAACGUGUUGCUCCCGUCAACUCGCUCAACAUGAUUCAUUUAUUCACUUAGAUAAACCACCACCGCCACACCAACCUGCCACUUGAUGCGCACUUAAAAGGACAGGGGAGCGCGGGCCAGGCAGACCCUCCGCCGGACACGACUCGGGGAGAAACAUGUUUUAAAAUCCAAGCUCUUGAGCUUCUAACCAGGGAGCGCGCGCGAGUGUGUGAAGAGGCUGAGAACCUCGGUUUUCAGAGACUCUAGAAUAAACUUCUCGCCCCCCUCUCCUCCCGAGGACAGUCGGGACUGUGGGUGAUCGAGUCUCAUUGGGUCGGGUCGGCCUUCUAAGUUGGCGGGGCCCUGCGGGACCGGUCUGCUUGACCCGACCGCGCUCGCAUUGGAGAGCCGAGGCUCGAUCGGUCUGCCGGGCUGCAUAACCCCCGCCCCGCAGCAGCGGCGUCCCUCGCGCGCCGCCGCGUUUCCCGCGCUCUCGGCCCGUACUUCCCGGCGCGGCCUACAAGGCCCCGCGCGGCCCCGCCUCCGGGUCCCGCUCGGUCUCCGGCUGCGAGAGGGAAGGCGGAGGUUAUCCGCCGAGGGACAAGCGGAGCGGACCGAGGCAAAAGAAGCAUUACAGAAUUUACUGUUAACCUGUGUCCCUAAAACUGCUCUUAAAGAAAAGGGGUGUUUUCACCUGAAUGAUUCAGACUGUGUGGCCGCUUCAGGGAUAAUUGGAACUCUCCUGUGUGGAUAUGGUUUUAAUGUCCAGAUGCUUAGCCUCGUCACAAAUAUUCCCUUAAAUAUGGGGUUCCUGAGCAGAAGGGAAAAUGAGCUUAAACAUGAGGCUUGGAGGAGAAAGAAGGGCUGGGGAGAAAUAUGGUUAUUCAGUCAGUCAGUUCAGUCACUCAGUCGUGUCCAACUCUUUGUGACCCCAUGGACUGCCGCACACCAGGCUUUCCUGUCCAUCACCAACUCUUGGAGCUUGCUCAAACUCAUGUCCAUCGAGUUGCUGAUGCUAUCACUUUAUUGGUUAUUACAAGAUAUUGAAUACAGUUCCCUGUGCCAUGCAGUAAAUCCUUAUUUUUUAAUCUAUUUUAUAUAUAGUUGUGUAUAUCUGCUAAUCCCAAAUUCCUAAUUUAUCCCUCCCCCUUUCUCCCCUUUGGUAAACCAUAAACUUGUUUUCUGUAUCUGUGAGUCUAUUUCUGUUUUGUAUGCAAGUUCAUUUGUAUCAUAUUUUUAGAUUCCACAUGUAAGUGAUAUAAUGUUUGUCUUUGACUUCAUGAAGUAUGAUAAUCUGUAUGUCCAUCUAUGUUGCUGUAAAUGAUGUUAUUUCAUUCUUUUUUAUGGCUGGAUAAUAAUACACAUAUAUAUCACAUCUUCUUUAUCCAUUCAUCUAUUGAUGGACAUCUAGGUUGCUUCCAGCUAUUGGCUAUUGGAAAUCAUGGUGCUAUGAACACAGGGUGCAUGUAUCUUUUUGAAUGAGAGUUUUCAUCUUUUCUGGAUUUACACUGAGGAAUGAGAUUGAUGAAUACUAUGGUAACUCUCUUUUUAGUUUGUAAAGGAACCUCUAUACUGUUCUCCAUAGUGGCUACACUGGUUUACAUUCCCACCAACGUGUAAGAAUGUUUUUUUUUCUCUGUACCCUCUCUAGCACUUGUUAUUUGUACACUUCACGAUGAUGGCCAUUCUGACCAGUGUGAGGUGAUACCUCAUUUUAAUUUGCAUUUCUCUAAUAAUUGGUGAUGUGAAGUAUCAUUUCAUGUGCCUGAUAACCAUCUGUAUGUCUUCUUUGGGUAAAUGUUUAUUUAGGUCUUCUGGUCAUUUUUCUGUUGGGUUGUUUUUGUUUUAGGGUUUUUUUUUUAAAUAUCAAGCUGUAUAAGCUGUUUGUGUUUUUGGAAAUUAAUCCCUCAUCUGUCACAUAAUUUGCAAAUAUUUUCUCCCAUUCCAUAGAUUUUUGUUUUGUAUAUGGUUUCCUUUGCUGUGCAAAAGCUAAGUUUAAUUAGAUCCCAUUCAUUUAUUUUUGCUUUUGUUUUUAUUACUGUAGGCAAUGGGUGCAAAAAAAAUACUACAGCACUUUAUGUCAGAGUGUUCUGCCUAUGAUUUCCUCUAGGGGUUUUAUAAUAUCUGGUCUUACAUUUGGGUCUUUAAUACAUCUUGAGUUUAUUUUUGUAUAUAGUGUUAGAGAAUGUUCUAAUUUAAUUCUUUUACACAUAGCUGUCUAGUUCUCCCAACGCGACUUAUUGAAGACAGAAUCUUUUCUGCAUUGUGUGUUCUUGCCUUCUUUGUCAU
ensembl:lncRNA